UCUGGAGAUCCCUCCUUGGUGGAAUCUUUUCCCUGCAAACCCAGAAUCUUCUGAUAUGGGGGCAGACUGUGACAUAACCAAAUGGAAGCUGAGAUCCCAUCCUCCCACAUCAGUUGUAAUGAGACUCAGCGACAGAAGCACUAAUAAAACCUAAGCCAAAUUCCCUUAUACAACUUCAUCUUCGAGUUCACCUCCACUUCUCUGGGUAAGGAAUAAUUCAAGCUUCUUAGAGAAGACAAUCCCACCCACUGAAGUCUGAUAAGACUUUUUACACUACGUACCUGAAGACUAAUCAGUUCACAAGGAACUCUUUUGACUUCAAGUUGUUUAUCACAAUCUCAUGAAGCAUAUUCUAGGCAGCCAAGGAGUCCCAACACAUCUGAGAACUCUGAAAAUUAAAAAAGAUUAAUGUGAAACAGAACUAGAUAACAUGAUCAUCAGAUGCUUGUUCAAAUCCUACAAGCUUCUUUGAAUGCAAUAAAGUCAAUUCACUUUCUGAAGUUCA